rnacentral:lncRNA from 1 species
AUUUCCUCUUAAUUUUUUUUUUUCAAAUAAUGUAGUUCAAAUAGGGCCUUAUUUCACAUUAAAAAUGAAUUCUUCUAGAAAAAAUCUGGAUAAUAGAAAAUUGUUACCUAGCUAGAAAGAACCUUUCACGUUCUCAAUCGGGGUUAUAACGGCAUGACUGAAUACAUAAAAAGAACUUGGGGGAAAACGAGAGAAUUUUCUAUUUCAAUUUUCGUUUGUUGUGGGUGCCUGCAGUUUGAGGGGUGUAAGGGAAAGUUAAAGAAGCAAUGUGUUUUGGAGAGAGAAAUGUUUUUCCUUUUCCCUUCUUUCAGAGAAAAGAUGGUCGAAGAGAGUUUCCUCCUCUGAGAUCAUCCUGAAAAGGGCAGUGAAGAAAAAAAAUUUAAAAAAGUCACAAACAAACCCGAAAAUUUCAUUUUUAUUAAUUAUUUCAAAUCUAUUUUUUCUUUCAAGCUGCCAUAUUUGAGUGUCAACUACAAGAUUCAUCGGCCACCUUUUCUGUCCUCUACAUUGUUUUGGAAAAGGAUUUCAAAUCGCUAAAGAAUUUAUUUUUGCCAUCAUCGACUUCCAUUUUAUGCGUCCUUCAAAUGGUGAUUUUUUAGAUAUUAUAUCCUUUCGCUUUUUCUAUAUGUCGCUUGUUCCUAUGGUUAUUCUUUUUGUUAUGAUUCUGUUUUGGCUUGUGGAUUGCGCUGGUUUUUUUGUCAUUUAGAGGAAUCAUAAUUGUUAACUUUGGUACUUUUUCUGCAUUUCAGCUAAAAUUUGAAUCUUGGGGAUAAUUCGCCGAGCCAGGUUAUGCAAUUGUUGGUGAAACCAGAGCUGUUAUAUUCCUAAAUUUAAAUAUUAUUGAGAAUGAGAGACCUCGAUUCUGUCAAUAUGUUCAAGAGUGUUGAUAUAGAUUCUUUUCUUCGCUAUAUAGAUUAGGCCUAGCGAUGAGUUUGUGCCAUAUGAUUAUCUUGCUUUUGUAAGAUUAAAAUUUUGUUGUCUGGUUGCCUGAUUGGUUUUGUUUCCUAGUAAUUUAUAAUUGCUCGAAGGUUAAUUUUGCUCCAGGAAGCUGACGAUUUUGUUUAUCGCAUUGUAAAGAAUUCUAGCUGUUGGUAGAAACUGUAAUUGCCUCAACUGGUGCGACUUAUUUUUCGACAAGCUAUGAGGGUUAGCUGGACCACUUAUGGAAUGCAGUUAUCAUGUAUCCCUCUCUUGAUUAUUGUUCUACAAAUUCAUGGGUGUUUGUCGCUCAAUUUUGAAGGUAAUAAUGG